rnacentral:rRNA from 1 species
GGAAGUAAAAGUCGUAACAAGGUCUCCGUUGGUGAACCAGCGGAGGGAUCAUUAUCGAGUUUACAACUCCCAAACCCAUGUGAACUUAUACCUUUACUGUUGCUUCGGCGGGACCGCCCCGGGAAACAGGCUCGCGAGAGCCCGGCCCCCGGAACCAAGGCGCCCGCCGGUGGGAAUUACAGAACUCUUGUAUGUUUUUUUGCAACGUCUGAGUGGAAUUUAUAUCAUAGAAUGAAUCAAAACUUUCAACAACGGAUCUCUUGGUUCUGGCAUCGAUGAAGAACGCAGCGAAAUGCGAUAAGUAAUGUGAAUUGCAGAAUUCAGUGAAUCAUCGAAUCUUUGAACGCACAUUGCGCCCGCCAGUAUUCUGGCGGGCAUGCCUGUUCGAGCGUCAUUUCAACCCUCAAGCCCGCAGCGGCUUGGUGUUGGGGACCGGCUACAGCGCCUGCCUUGUAUAAUGCGGGCGCGCGCCGCCCCCGAAAUGAAUUGGCGGUCUCGUCGCGGCCUCCUCUGCGUAGUAGCAUAAACCUCGCAACAGGAGCGCGGCGCGGCCAAUGCCGUAAAACGCCCAACUUUUUCUCAAGAGUUGACCUCGAAUCAGGUAGGAAUACCCGCAGAACUUAAGCAUAUCAAUAAGCGGAGGA